rfam:Triticum aestivum genome assembly, contig: Triticum_aestivum_CS42_TGACv1_scaffold_309992_4AS
CAAGUACUCCCUCCGUCCAGAAUUACUUGUCAUCAAAAUGCAUGUGUCUAGAACUAAAAUACAUCUAGAUACAUCCAUUUCAAUGACAAGUAUUUUCGGACGGAGGGAGUACAAG